rnacentral:rRNA from 1 species
GGCAACGGAUAUCUCGGCUCUCGCAUCGAUGAAGAACGUAGCGAAAUGCGAUACUUGGUGUGAAUUGCAGAAUCCCGUGAACCAUCGAGUCUUUGAACGCAAGUUGCGCCUGAAGCCAUCAGGUUGAGGGCACGUCUGCCUGGGUGUCAAACACCGUUGCCCCC